rnacentral:rRNA from 1 species
GACGAACGCUGGCGGCGUGCUUAACACAUGCAAGUCGAACGGUGAAAGCGGAGCUUGCUCCGCUGGAUCAGUGGCGAACGGGUGAGUAACACGUGGGCAACCUGCCCCAGACUUCGUGAUAACUCCUCGAAAGAGGUGAUAAUACCGGAUACGAAGCCCCCAGGCAUCUGGGGGCUUGGAAAGGUUUUCGGUCAGGGAUGGGCCCGCGGCCUAGCAGCUUGUUGGUUAGGUAGUGGCUCAUCAAGGCGAUGACGGGUAGCCGGUGUGAGAGGGCGACCGGCCACAGUGGGACUGAGACACGGACCAGACUCCGACGGGAGGCAGCAGUGGGGAAUAUGGCGCAAUGGGCGAACGCCUGACGCAGCAACGACGCGUGAGGGAUGACGGCCUUCGGGUUGUAAACCUCUUUCAGCAGGGAAGAGGCGAAAGUGACGGUACCUGCAGUAAAAGCACCGGCUAACUACGUGCCAGCAGCCGCCGUAA